CAAAAGGCUGCAGUACCGGUAGACAGUGUCAUGUCAGGUACAUGUACUAGACACGACUCACGAACUGUGGUCUGCGCAUAGUCGUGUUGGGAGUCGGGAAUUACGACUUUUGGACAAAGAAUCAGGACAAACAUCUACGCAAGUAAGGUGUGUUAUUUUGAGUGACAUAGUCGUCCUUCAAACAGUACACCUCUUGUAUACAUCCGGAAGCAAGCGUCAGUAUGAACAUGACAUCAAAUACAACACUGACAUCAAACGCCACAGUUGGACUACAGACGACACCGUUGCCAAUGCCAACGCCAUCGACACCAUCUACCACUGACAUGGCGGGCGGUGUUGGACCGCUAGAUGUCGCUGCCAUACUGUGCGGCCUUUUCAUCUUUCUCACCCUGUGUGUGGUGACGGUCCUGUCCAUGAAAAGGAGGAAGAAAGAGGCCAAGAAGGCGCGUUUUCUGUCAGAAUCACAGGCACAGAUCAGGGAAGAGCCCACAGUACAAACUGUUGGUAGCACGGACACACUUACGAGCGUGUAUACUGUUGAAGAGUAGUGUAUAGUCAUAAGAGCUAGGUUUGUAGCACGAAACUCCAAAACUAUUAUAUAAUAUGCUAUAAUCCUUGACCAGGAAUAUUACGAAACAAAACGUUUACUUAUUGUUAUUAGUUUGCUAGGUCUGUACGAGGUUUACAUACCACAAUAUUGAGUGAAAAACACACAGAGUCUUUAAAUUUUAUUACGUAUGAAAAGACUGCAAAUAUUCAAGGCACAUCAUUUAGUACUUUUACGCAACAUUUUUGUGACAAGUUCAAAAGGUACAGUGAAAAUUUACUAUACUUAUAUGUACAUAUGUAGUUAUAUUUGCAAGCGUAUUUACAAGUCUAGCACACCAUGUGGAUACGUAGUAUGAUAUCUUGAGAAUAUAUUUCUGUAGGUACUAGUAGUACGUUGUAACUUGUACAAAUCGAUGUUUUCUUUAUGUACAAUGGAUGUGACAUAAACAUAAACUUUAACUUUUGUACAU